CUAAGCACCCGUUCCCAACAAUUUGGUGGCACGUAGGGGAUUAACAUUCCCCUCUGGGACAGUCUUUGGUCCUCUCUCAUGGGGAGGUGCCCCACUGCCCAUUGUAGCAGCCCCUGGAGGAGAGCCAGGACCUACCCGGAACAAGGAAUAUAGUUGGAUUCUCAGCAACCCGGGGAAAGAGAGAGGCUUGCAGGACUGCAGUGACCAGGUGACUCCAUGCACGGGCCAAGGUCAAAGGUCUCUUAGCACAGGCCACCACUAGAAUUUCCAGCACACCAGCACCAACCCAGGGACCACCUUCUCAUCAAAGGGUGGAAGGAAGGGAAACUCGAGCCCACCUGGGAAGGCCCCUAUCUGGUGCUGUUAACCACCGAGACUGCCGUCCGCACAGCUGAGAAAGGAUGGACCCACCAUACUCUAGUCAAGAAAGCAGCUUCCUCGUCAGAAUCAUGGGUUGCUGUACCAGGAUUGAGU
rnacentral:lncRNA from 1 species